rnacentral:rRNA from 1 species
CAAUAGCGUAUAUUUAAGUUGUUGCAGUUAAAAAGCUCGUAGUUGGAUUUCGGAUGGGAUUUGCCGGUCCGUCGUUACGAUGUGCACUGGCCAGUCCUAUCUUGUUGUCGGGGACUAGCUCCUUGGAUUCACUUCCUGGGACUAGGAGCUGACGAGGUUACUUUGAGUAAAUUAGAGUGUUCAAAGCAAGCCUACGCUCUGAAUACAUUAGCAUGGAAUAACACGAUAGGACUCUGGCUUAUCUUGUUGGUCUGUGAGACCAGAGUAAUGAUUAAGAGGGACAGUCGGGGACCUUCGUAUUUCAUUGUCAGAGGUGAAAUUCUUGGAUUUAUGAAAGACGAACUUCUGCGAAAGCAUUUGUCAAGGAUGUUUUCAUUAA